rfam:Homo sapiens chromosome 10, GRCh38 reference primary assembly.
GUUAAUGUAGCUUAAUUAUUUAAAGCAAGGCACUGAAAAUGCCUAGAUGGGUCCGCACAACCCGGUAAACA